UCGCCUGUUUAUCAAAAACAUCUCUCUUUGUUUUUCUUAAAGAGUAGGCCCUGCCCGGUGCGGCGAACGUAAACGGAAUUUUUUUUUAAAGUAGCGUAAUAAAUUGGCCUUUAAUUGGGGUCUGGAAUGAAGGGGUUGACGUGGGAAGGCUGUCUCAAAGGGAGUGCUUGAAAUUUUCUUUCUAGUGAAAAGCCUGGGAUAUACUUAAAAGACGAGAAGACCCCGUCGAGCUUGAUUAACUUUUAAAAUUUUACAAAAAAUUUAAAGUGAAGGUUUGUUGGGGCAACAGUUGAGAAAUUAAACCUCUUAAACUUUAACAAAGAUCCACUUUUAGUGAUAAAAGGAAAAAGCUACCGCGGGGAUAACAGCGCAAGAUAGCCAGAGAGUUCUUAUCGAAGGCUGUAUUUGUGACCUCGAUGUUGGAUUAGAGCAAACCUCUUGGCGCAGAAGUUAAAGUAGGUGGGACUGUUCGUCCUUUAAUUCUCUACAUGAUCUGAGU
rnacentral:rRNA from 1 species